AGUGAACGCUGGCGGUAGGCCUAACACAUGCAAGUCGAACGGCAGCACAGUAAGAGCUUGCUCUUACGGGUGGCGAGUGGCGGACGGGUGAGGAAUACAUCGGAAUCUACUUUUUCGUGGGGGAUAACGUAGGGAAACUUACGCUAAUACCGCAUACGACCUACGGGUGAAAGCAGGGGAUCUUCGGACCUUGCGCGAUUGAAUGAGCCGAUGUCGGAUUAGCUAGUUGGCGGGGUAAAGGCCCACCAAGGCGACGAUCCGUAGCUGGUCUGAGAGGAUGAUCAGCCGCACUGGAACUGAGACACGGUCCAGACUCCUACGGGAGGCAGCAGUGGGGAAUAUUGGACAAUGGGCGCAAGCCUGAUUCAGCCAUACCGCGUGGGUGAAGAAGGCCUUCGGGUUGUAAAGCCCUUUUGUUGGGAAAGAAAAGCAGCAGGUUAAUACCCCGCUGUUCUGACGGUACCCAAAGAAUAAGCACCGGCUAACUUCGUG
rnacentral:rRNA from 1 species